AACGAACGCUGGCGGCAUGCCUAAUACAUGCAAGUCGAACGAGAUCUUCGGAUCUAGUGGCGCACGGGUGCGUAACGCGUGGGAAUCUGCCCUUGGGUUCGGAAUAACUUCUGGAAACGGAAGCUAAUACCGGAUGAUGACGUAAGUCCAAAGAUUUAUCGCCCAAGGAUGAGCCCGCGUAGGAUUAGGUAGUUGGUGAGGUAAAGGCUCACCAAGCCGACGAUCCUUAGCUGGUCUGAGAGGAUGAUCAGCCACACUGGGACUGAGACACGGCCCAGACUCCUACGGGAGGCAGCAGUAGGGAAUAUUGGAUAAUGGGCGAAAGCCUGAUCCAGCAAUGCCGCGUGAGUGAUGAAGGCCUUAGGGUUGUAAAGCUCUUUUACCCGGGAUGAUAAUGACAGUACCGGGAGAAUAAGCUCCGGCUAACUCCGUG
rnacentral:rRNA from 1 species